UUGCUUUGGCAGCAUGUGUACUAAAACUGGACCACUACAAAGAAGGUUAGCAUGGCCCCUGUGCAAGGAUGGCUUCAACAUUCUGGAAGAAUUCCAUGUUUUU